ACCAGGUCUUGUACAUCCCGAUGCUAUUUCUAGAGAUAGAAAGUUACUUCGGUACAUCGGUGACAGGUGGUGCAUGGUUGUCGUCAGCUCGUGUCGUGAGAUGUUGGGUUAAGUCCCGCAACGAGCGCAACCCCUAUUGUUAGUUGCCAUCAUUCAGUUUGGGCACUCUAGCGAGACUGCCGGUAAUAAACCGGAGGAAGGUGGGGAUGACGUCAAAUCAUCAUGCCCCUUAUGACCUGGGCUACACACGUGCUACAAUGGUUGGUACAACGAGUUGCGAGUCGGUGGCGGCGAGCUAAUCUCUUAAAGCCAAUCUCAGUUCGGAUUGUAGGCUGCAACUCGCCUACAUGAAGUCGGAAUCGCUAGUAAUCGCGGAUCAGCACGCCGCGGUGAAUACGUUCCCGGGCCUU
rnacentral:rRNA from 1 species